rnacentral:rRNA from 1 species
UACGUAGGAGGCAAGCGUUGUCCGGAAUCACUGGGCGUAAAGGGCGCGUAGGCGGCCCGGUAAGGUUGCGGUGAAAGCCCGGGGCUCAACCCCGGGUCGGCCGUGGCAACUGCUGGGCUGGAGCACAGUAGAGGCGGGUGGAAUUCCGGGUGUAGCGGUGGAAUGCGUAGAGAUCCGGAAGAACACCGGUGGCGAAGGCGGCCCGCUGGGCUGUUGCUGACGCUGAGGCGCGACAGCGUGGGGAGCAAACAGG